AAUUUUGAAACGUAAUACAAUAAUUACAAUAUCAAUAAAAGAUGAAACUGGGAUAAAAGGGAGUGUAUUUCAUAAUUGUGAAUUGAGUUUAAUUUAUACUUAAGAUGGCAAUAAACUCCGUUAAAGAUUUUGGAAAAGCUUGGUGGUCUGAGGUGUACAAUCGAAUAAUAGGAGCGGCCGUGUUCCUGGACGACUACAGCUCAGAAUGUUUACAUUGGGACGGAGGAUUGUUGAAUCUCAUAUACGGGGGAGCUGUCUCUGUGAAGAGCUUAUCGCCUUUUGAGUUUGCAACAAAAGACCAAAAGAAAGCAGUGUUCAUCACUCAAUCCGCGAGCACACAGCUCCGCACAGUCCGAGAGAUCAUCAAACAUAGUGAUUUUGCUCACUGCAUGUUGAUAUGCACCGUCAGCCUGGAUGUGAUUUAUCUAGAGCUGAAUGAAGGGAAGGAUGUGAGCGAUAUGGUGGCGACGGGGAAGGCUCCCAUGGAGGCUACUAAGCAGUUGGAGGGGAUGCUGUUGGAAUGGAUCGGUAAAAAACAAUGUGCCGUAGAAGUGGUUCAUCUCCCGCUAUUCACAAUAUCACCAACAAAUGUAGUGUUCCUCACACCCCCAUACCACAAAGUAUAUCCAGCAUAUGACGGCAAACUCACAACAGAGUCAGCAUCCAUAGACCUGUACACGCUGAACAAAGAGGAGCGGGCUCAAGUGCGGAGGCUGGCUAGUGGUUUGAACAGUAUUAUGGAGUCUAUGAAUUUGAAAGAGGAUGUGUAUUACAUGGGAACUUUCAGCUCAUUGAUAGCUGGGGUGUUGGAAAAUUCGCCCGUUUGUUUGGCUCGGAGAAAGAAUUGCACAAGUCCCGCGUCCCUAAUCGUCAUAGACCGCACUCUAGAUGUCUGCGGAGUGACCAGCCAUUCAAUGGAAUCUGUCCUCGACAAGAUUAUGACAGUUUUGCCAAGGUUUCCAGGACACAGCAACGAUGUCGCGGUUGAUAUGUCGCCGUUGUGUGAAGCUAAUGUAAUCUCGCAUCCAGAAGACCUCCAGCUCGCCCCCGGCUGCCUUUACCACGCCAACGAUGACGCCUGCACUUCCACCUUCGACCACAUGAUCAACAAGAGCCAGAAGGAGGUCAUGUUUCACCUCUACAACAAGCUGUCCAAGAUAGAUGUGCAGAGGUCGCCGAGUCCCAAGAUGCUGCUCAAGGUCACGCCUCAGAGCAUUGAGAAGAUCGUCGCGGCCGCUAAAGGCAACUACGACAUAAUAGAAAAGCACAUCGGCGUACUGCAACAGGCGUUAGGCGUGGUCCACACGCUGAAGUCCCCCAAGCGUUCGCAGGUGGAACUGCUGCAAAAUUUAGAGCGGCAGGUGCUGCAGAGUCUGGCCGCUAGUCGCGACUCCACCAGCGUACUCCACCAGAUCAGCCACCUAAUAAAGACCAGAAAAGACCGCAACCUCCCCCUAGAAACCCUACUCGCCCUCAUAGUCCACGUGUAUUCCCUCACCGGCACUGAAGUUUCCUUCUCGAAACAACACGAAGACAGCCUGACUGAGACGUUGAGCGUGGCCAUAUUCGAGGACCAUAAGACGCUGUUCGCUGACCACGGGCUGAGGGGCAGCCCGGAGCAUUGCGACGACGUAUCCAAGUCGAUCAUGGGGAGGCUGAAGGAGAUUGCGAUGAUGAGGAGGAAUUUGCAGAAGUACAACUCGGUUCUAAAGCCGUGCGAGACAGGCGGGGGACACGAGUACCGUGGCGUAUUACAACAGUUAGUAGAAGACCUGGUGGACACGGAGCGACCGGAUCUAACGGACCUGCGACACAGGAACGAGGGACUCAAGGAAUUACUGCGGAGCGGACUUAACAUCCUAACGAGCAAGAAAACUCGCAGCACGAAGCACCCGCUCGACAGCCCCACCGUGAUCAUCUUCGUAGUUGGCGGAAUUACGGCCGAGGAGUGCAAGAGAAUUAACAGGACCGUGAUCACGAGCGGCGUCGACACGGCCGUGUUCAUCGGUUCCACAAAAUUCGUCACUCCAGUGGAAGCCAUGAGAGACGUCCUCGCCUUAUAGCAGUACUCACCUUUGAUGGCGCGCAAGAAAAGCACCAGCGCCGUCAAUGACGCUUGCCGAAAGAUGGUGUAUUAAGUUCUGUAACUUGUCGAUAGAUGGCGUUAUAAUUAAGUGCAUAACCUAAAUGGAGCUGCUUGGUGGGGAUUUGGACUGGGCGCAUGCUCACAGGAAGACGAGGAUCAGAGAGCGGAGUUUUAAAAAAUCGUACCGCUUUUUUUUUAGAAUGCAAUACGGUUUCUAAAAAUUUAAUUAGUUAUCUUGAGGAUUUUCUCUAGUGACUUCAUAGAUUCGAAUCUUGAUUUUCUUACUUUCGCUCGUAAGAAAUCACGAACAGUCUAAAACGCACUUUAAAAUUUUGUAACAAUUUAUGCACAAAAGCUAAAAAUAUGAAAAUUUUAUUUUUGUGUAUUGCUUUUUGUUAGGGAAAUCGGGUAUUGGCCUACUGAUUUCCAUAGGUAUGUAAUUUCUUAAAUUCUUACAUUAUAAUUAUAACAUAUAACGGGGUACCUAGCUAAGCUUUUAUGACCCUUACCGUUUAAGUGUCGUCGUGUUUGCUAGAUAAUUAAUGUGUAUUUUGGCUGUUAUUCUUAUGCUAGAUGUACUUGGUUGCUUCAAAAGUAACAUUAUACAAUGUUAAUCUAUGUAAUACUGUGAAUAUUUAUAAUACAUUUUAAAUGUGACAUUGUCUAUGAAAAGGGAACUUAUUAUCGAUGGCGCUUACGCCAUUAUUAACGAUGCUCCGAUAUAAAUACAAUUACGCUGUGUGGCGUAAGCGCCAUCGACAAUAAGGUCCCUUUUCAUAGAUAAUGCCUCAAAUAAUUUAAUUAAUUGUAAGUGCAAUGCAAUUACAAUGCAGAUAUAAACUGUUAAAAUGUUAUUAAUAUUAUUUAAUUUAUUGUUUAGAGUCAAGAUAUGCCUAUGGGUGAUUUUUAAUA